UACAGGGGGUGCAAACGUUGCUCGGAAUCAUUGGGCGUAAAGCGCACGUAGGCGGUCUGUUAUGUCGGAUGUGAAAGCCCUUGGCUCAACUGAGGAAGUGCAUCCGAAACUGGCAGGCUAGAGUACUAAAGAGGGUCGCGGAAUUCCCGGUGUAGAGGUGAAAUGCGUAGAGAUCGGGAAGAACAUCGGUGGCGAAAGCGCUCUACUGGACGGUAUCUGACACUGAGGGACGAAAGCUAGGGGAGCGAAUGGG
rnacentral:rRNA from 1 species